rnacentral:rRNA from 1 species
GACGAACGCUGGCGGCGUGCUUAACACAUGCAAGUCGAACGGUGAAGCUCGAGCUUGCUGGAGUGGAUCAGUGUCGAACGGGUGAGUAACACGUGAGCAACCUGCCCCUGACUCUGGAAUAAGCGCUGGAAAAGGCGUCUUAUUAUGGAUACGAGUCGGGCCCGCAUGGGCACUUUCUUGCAAGUUUUUUGGUUGGGGAUGGGCUCGCGGCCUAUCAGCUUGUUGGUGAGGUAAUGGCACACCAAGGCGACGACGGGUAGCCGGCCUGAGAGGGCGACCGGCCACACUGGGACUGAGACACGGCCCAGACUCCUACGUGAGGCAGCAGUGGGGAAUAUUGCACAAUGGUCGAAAGCCUGAUGCAGCGACGCCGCGUGAGUGAUGACGGCCUUCAGGUUGUAAACCUCUUUCAGCAGGGAAGAAGCGAAAGUGACGGUACCGGCAGAAGAAGCACCGGCUAACUACGUG